GAUGAACGCUGGCGGCGUGCUUAACACAUGCAAGUCGAACGAAGCGCUUAAACGGAUUUCUUCGGAAUGAAGUUUUUGCGACUGAGUGGCGGACGGGUGAGUAACGCGUGGGUAACCUGCCUCAUACAGGGGGAUAACAGUUAGAAAUGACUGCUAAUACCGCAUAAGCGCACAGUGCUGCAUGGCACAGUGUGAAAAACUCCGGUGGUAUGAGAUGGACCCGCGUCUGAUUAGCUAGUUGGUGGGGUAACGGCCUACCAAGGCGACGAUGCAUAGCCGAGUUGAGAGACUGAUCGGCCACAUUGGGACUGAGACACGGCCCAA
rnacentral:rRNA from 1 species